rnacentral:lncRNA from 1 species
GACAACCAGCCUUGCUCACGAAGCGUCAGCCGUAUCCUUUCUGUGUGCAGUGGGGUGUGGGUUGUGUGGAGCCGCGGUGUCUGUGGAAUUCACAGGCUGGGGCCGGAAUCCAUGGCCCCCGUCGCCGCUGCCACCCCCCAGGCAUUUGUUUUAUUGCUCUUUUUUCACCAACUCAAACUGAAUGGUCACCUUAACAGUUUUAUUGAGAUCCAUUAUUUAUUCUUCUCCAUCUUGUUCUGUGUUCCUGGAAGCCAACCUUUAUAAGCUGCAGGAAAUGGAUUUCCUACUCUCCACCUUCUGAUUGGGCUUGACCAACGGGGAGCACUGGCAGAAGACAAGCAUGGGAGGAAAAAGAGAUCAGGGCUGGAGUGCAGUGGCGUGAUCUCGGCUAGCUACAACCUCCACCUCCCAGCCGCCUGCCUUGGCCUCCCAAAGUGCCGAGAUUGCAGCCUCUGCCUGGCCGCCACCCCGUCUGGGAAGUGAGGAGCGCCUCUGCCCGGCCGUGACCCCGUCUGGGAACUGAGGAGUGUCUCUGCCCGACCGCCACCCCAUCUGGGAGGCCCAGCAUCCAAUUCAGUCGCCUUCAAGGAGUCUCUUCAGUCUAAUUUAUUCUAGAACAAUUCUUCAGGCUUCCCUUCUCUGGCCAAGAUUUUUGAAAAAUACAGGUCAAUGACUUUGUAGGUUGUCUUCAGUUUGGAUUUGUCUGCUGUGUCCUCAUGAUUUAUGCAUCUCUGGCAGGAAUACCACAGAAACGAUGCGACAUUCUUCUCAGUGUACCAUAUUAGGAGUCACACAAUGUCAACUUGUCCCAUUACUGCUGAUGUUAAUGUUUACCACUUGGCUAAGAUGAUGUCUGCCAGGUUUCUCCACUGGAAAGUUAACAGUAUUUAGUACGUGUUAAGUGAUGAGUAAUGAAUAAAUAUUUCAUAGGGA